rnacentral:lncRNA from 1 species
GAUACACAAAGAAACCCUGUCUUGAAAAAAAAAAAAAAAAAAAAAAAAAAAAAGAAAAGAAAGAAAAGAAAAGAAAAGAGAAAAAGAAAAAGAAAAAAAGAAAAAGAAAAAGAAAAAGAAAAAGAAAAAGAAAAAGAAAAAGAAAAAAGAAAGCCCUUCAUCUGUCAAGCCCAUCUAGAUGCUUGGAGGCUGGGGGAGCCGCUCAGUUUAAAGAGAUACUCUUAGUUGAGGCUUAACUCAUGAGCUCCAAAGUGAGAGCUUGAUUCUAGUUUUGUCUCCUUUGCUUAAAUAACCCUGACCUUUAAGGAUGCUAUCAACUCUUUGGCCUCUCCUAGCAUGGCAAUCAGCACGCCUCGCUUCCAUCUCACAGUGGUUAAGAUGUCUAAACGAGAUGACAGGUUUAGGUUUUGUCUCUUCUCCCAGUAGGCCCAUAGAGCCUAAACUGCUUUCAGUUUGAAUCUUAUGACUGUUAUGCUAACUCUGGGUGGUGGUCACCAUCAUUUCUUGUCUUCCCUGAAGAUCUCUCCUCUUUCCUCCUAUUUAAGACAUCUUACACAGUACUUUCUAGGACCUUGAUCCUAGAACCUUAAGAAACUGGUCUACCCCCAAGGCCAUCUGAAAUUCGGCUUUGUAGAUCAGAGACUAGGGAGGAGACAGAUAGCAGAAGGCAGAACAGGGUAGGCUAUCUGUGGAGCAGAGCAGUAUCCAGGAACCAGGGAAUGUAAGAAGCCAGGUGGACAGACCAGUGACAAAGUGCUGACAACAGACAGGCCUUAGCAAAUGAGGUGGCUUCUUUGCCUCUAGCCAAAAGGAUGGAAUUAAUCCCAGCCUGUCAUGCCUGGGCCUUGUAGGCAGGAUGAGGUAACCAGCUGCACCUGGUUGGGGUUUCUGCCCUUAUUGAGACCAGAUUUCUCCAGGAGCUGUGCCUCUCUCCUCUGCUGGCCUCAUUGUUUAGUAUUCUCAAUUUUAACGAAAGCCCAGUGCCACCCUUAUGCCUUACAUGUUCAGCUCCUCCAUCUCCUAAGCAGACGUGGAGCUUUCUUAAAUUCCCUGAGUUGGAAGUCACCAGGAGCUCAGCUGUAGGAUGAGAACCAGACAGCAUCGAGUGUCAAGCAGAAGAGGGCACAGCCAGUUGUCUUCAAACGGGGAGAGAGAGAGAGAGAGAGAGA